rnacentral:rRNA from 1 species
GACGAACGCUGGUGGCGUGCUUAACACAUGCAAGUCGAGCGGUAAGGCCCUUUCGGGGGUACACGAGCGGCGAACGGGUGAGUAACACGUGGGUGACCUGCCCUUAGCUCUGGGAUAAGCCUGGGAAACUGGGUCUAAUACCGGAUAUGACUCCAUGACGCAUGUUGUGGGGUGAAAGCCUUGUGCGGCUAGGGAUGGGCCCGCGGCCUAUCAGCUUGUUGGUGGGGUGAUGGCCACCAAGGCGACGACGGGUAGCCGGCCUGAGAGGGCGACCGGCCACACUGGGACUGAGACACGGCCCAGACUCCUACGGGAGGCAGCAGUGGGGAAUCUUGCGCAAUGGGCGAAAGCCUGACGCAGCGACGCCGCGUGAGGGAU